AGAAAAGUUGCGUCCAGUACUCUGUUUUGUUUCAGCUUAGUGGGAAGCAGAGCUCAGAUUUACCCAGGCUUGGGGAUCUGUAAACUCCCCUACCUGUGAGGUGAGACUGGAUCCUGAGAUGCUGGCUCUCUACUUCUACACAGUUCAUCAUGAAACAUUGGCCUGGGCAGAAGACUUGCAUUGUGGCUUCAACUCAGGGACCUGGAGGUGCCAUGUACAGAAAAAGGAAAAUUCACAUUUUGCAACGCUUGUUAUAUGUCAACUGUGACAUCACAUUCAUAAUGUAUUCUCUGUGCAUUUAUUAACCUCCACUAUAUACCUGGUGAUAAGCUGUAUUCUGACUGCAAGGAGGACAGCAAGAUGUACACAACAUACAUAAUUUGUACUGAAUCCCCAGGAGAGGAGGGACUUUCUGGCUGGCUAAUAUACAGAGGAUUACAAAGUCCCUGUAAUUUUUCCAAGACAUAUUGAGGACAUAUCUCAUCUCUGUAAGGAUGAGAGGAUGGAAGCUUGCUCAUCAUACAUGCUGGUAUCUAGGGGAUUCACAGAGGAAUUCUAAGAAUGAGAAUCUUGGCCUUUCUCAACUUGUAAGUAGAACAUGGACUAGUUUGCCAUGGAUACAAACUUGAAAGUGACUGUAACAAGCAAAGAAGAUGAGGCGUGCAGGUUCAGACAUUGGGCAGCUUGCCAAACCCAUGGGAAAACAAUUGCCAGCUUUUCCACUUGGUUAGGGGUAUGCUGGGUUCUCUACCUUGGAGCUUCUGGAUCAGGGACCUUCAUGUAA
rnacentral:lncRNA from 1 species